CGGUGGUUAGUUUAACUAAAACUACUAAUUUCGACUUAGUAGAUCCCACAGCGGGACCACCUA
rnacentral:tRNA from 1 species